rnacentral:rRNA from 1 species
AACGAACGCUGGCGGCAUGCCUAACACAUGCAAGUCGAACGAUGGUCUUCGGAUCAUAGUGGCGCACGGGUGCGUAACGCGGGGGAAUCUGCCCUUGGGUUCGGAAUAACAGUUGGAAACGACUGCUAAUACCGGAUGAUGUCGAUAAGACCAAAGAUUUAUCGCCCGAGGAUGAGCCCGCGUCGGAUUAGCUAGUUGGUGGGGUAAAGGCCUACCAAGGCGACGAUCCGUAGCUGGUCUGAGAGGAUGAUCAGCCACACUGGGACUGAGACACGGCCCAGACUCCUACGGGAGGCAGCAGUGGGGAAUAUUGGACAAUGGGCGCAAGCCUGAUCCAGCAAUGCCGCGUGAGUGAUGAAGGCCUUAGGGUUGUAAAGCUCUUUUACCCGGGAAGAUAAUGACUGUACCGGGAGAAUAAGCCCCGGCUAACUCCGUG